rnacentral:rRNA from 1 species
AGAGUUUGAUCCUGGCUCAGGAUGAACGCUAGCGGCAGGCUUAACACAUGCAAGUCGAGGGGCAGCGCGGGAUAGCAAUAUCCUGGCGGCGACCGGCGGAAGGGUGCGUAACGCGUGAGCGACAUGCCCGUUGCCCGGGGACAACCGGUGGAAACGCCGACUAAUCCCCGAUGGGAUACGAUGCUUCAUGGCAUUGUAUUGAAAGUUACGGCGGCGACGGAUUGGCUCGCGUCCGAUUAGCUGGUUGGCGGGGUAACGGCCCACCAAGGCUACGAUCGGUAGGGGUUCUGAGAGGAAGGCCCCCCACAAUGGGACUGAGACACGGCCCAUACUCCUACGGGAGGCAGCAGUGAGGAAUAUUGGUCAAUGGGCGGAAGCCUGAACCAGCCAUGCCGCGUGCGGGAAGGAGGCCCUAUGGGCUGUGAACCGCUUUUGCCUGGGGGCAAUAAGGGCGUCGCGCACGUCCGAUGAGAGUACCAGGCGAAUAAGCAUCGGCUAACUCCGUGCCAGCAGCCGCGGUAAUACGGGGGAUGCGAGCGUUAUCCGGAUUCAUUGGGUUUAAAGGGUGCGUAGGCUGUGCGUCAAGUCGGGGGUGAAAUUCCGGUGCUCAACACCGGGGCUGCCCUUGAUACUGUCGCGCUGGAGUGCGGAUGCCGCCGGAGGAAUGAGUGGUGUAGCGGUGAAAUGCUUAGAUAUCACUCAGAACACCGAUUGCGAAGGCAUCUGGCGAAUCCGUAACUGACGCUGAGGCACGAAAGCGUGGGGAUAGAACAGGAUUAGAUACCCUGGUAUUCCACGCCGUAAACGAUGAUGGCUAACCGCCGGCGACACACUGUCGGUGGCCAAGCGAAAGCGAUAAGCCAUCCACCUGGGGAGUACGUCGGCAACGAUGAAACUCAAAGGAAUUGACGGGGGCCCGCACAAGCGGAGGAACAUGUG